CUGAGCUCCAAAUGCAGGGGGCCGGGGUUUGAUCUCAGGUCAGGGAACUAGAUCUCACAUGCAUGCUGUAACUAAGAGUCCACAUGCCUCAACUAAAGAUGCCACAUAGGCCAAUGAAAAUCCCGUGGUGCCACAACCCAGCACAGCCAAAUAAAUACAUAAAUAAAUAUUUUUAAAAAAAGAAUUGAGAAGCUUUCAAACUCAGGGUAUAUACAAGUUUUCCAAAAUUUUAGUUUUCCCUUGAAAGCUCCAAUAUAAAAAAUCAUUGGUAACAGAUACUAUAAGCUAUUUCCUUGAAGUGACUGGCUCAUUUCAUUCAUUUUUGAGAAAAUAUCUGCCAAAUAUUUGAGUCCGAAUGGCUUCUGUAUCGGUUGUUCUUUUCAGUUGAAAUGUUGUUCUGUGAAGAAAGCAGCUGCUUCAACCCACAGCUCAAAUAAAGCACUACCGUUCUUUCUCAGUGCUUUUCCAGGAGACAACCAUCUUACCAAGGUCUGCAGCACAAGUGCUUUGUAUGUACUUCCAUUUUUAUUAUAUAGGAUAUUAGAAAGAUGUAUACCCAAGAGUUAUGAUUUAAUCAAAUUAUUAAUUUUUACUGCUUUAUUUAGUACAUUGUAUUAAUAGACUUAAAAAAAAAAGACAGCAUGAUGGUGAGCAAUAAAAUCACUACUAGUAUAGUUUGGUGCCUCUGCCAUGAUUCAGGAUAAGGUAUAAGCGGUUUUCCCCACCGUUGCUUUUGCACCAUUAGGGCAAAUGUUAACACAGUGAAAAAGGCAAGUGACUUCUUAGUAUUACGAAAAUUAUUUAGAUCUCGUGGUGCCCCUCCUCCCCCAGGGUCCGCGGACCACACUUUGAGAACCGUCGGUUGCUCUAGGUCGCAGCAUCUUGUCCUAACCUCCACCUAACUUUACAUUCAUUAAGUUCUGAUCUUUCGUCCUUCUGAGUCCGCAGAAACAGCCCAGCGUUCUUCUCUCGAACACCUGGGGCGGCUGCUUCCAGCCGGAGGCAGAGCUGCGGGGCGUGGCCAGCGCAGCAUCGCAGCUGGUACCCGAGGGGCCCUCACCCUUCUUUCCCUUACCUCACUUCCUCUUCCCCUCCCCCAGCCCCUUUAACCCUUCGUUUUCCCCAAGGACGGAAAGAAAGCGAGAGGAAAAGCCUCAAUUUAAAAGAAGCCACCAGAGGAAUGGUGCUGGGACAGGGGACACUCUGCACAGCACAUAAACGACUGUGACAUGCUGCAGUGAACACCUUGCACUUAUGUGUCUGUACAAUUUGGCGACACAGAUUCGAGCCCUGGUCCGGGAAGAACCCACAUGUUGCAGAGCAACUAAAUCCAUGCACCACAACUACUAAGGCUGCGCUCUAGAGCCUGCGAGCCACAACUACUGAGCCCACGUGCCACAAC